AUUCUAGAAUAGAAUAGAAUGGUCUAAAUUCUAAUAGCCUAAUAAUGGACACACAUCUUAAUCGGCAGUGAAUAAGUGCGGAUAAAAUCGGGGACACAUACGGUCGGUGGACGGACGGGAGGACGUCCCGGAGCGUCGCACCGAGCAGGACCGGGCCGAGCCGGGCCGAACCGGGCCGCCUGCUGAGAGACCAUGCUGGGUGGCUCUGCGUUUUGACUUUGUGGUCCUUUAAUAUAGUGAGGGACGCCAGUUUGCCUUGCUAAGAUAUGGGAUUAGGAGUGUUUCUGGUGAAAGAGGAGUUAAGUCGGACUAGUGUGGACGGUCCCUCCCCUGCAAGAGGCUGAGACAGAAUUACAGCUUGUUGGACCGGUGUCCCGCCGUCGCCAUGGAGACUCAUCUACUUGGGUGUUCCAGUCCGCGCGCUGCAGAGUAUAUAUAUAGCCUAUAUAGUGCAGCAGCAGCAUCUCUCUCCAUCACGCAACUCAAAGACACAGAAACUUGAAGCAGCCUCCAUCACACAACCUGCAGAUCCCCUUCAGCUUUUUGCACCACCCUGUUGUGAAAUCCAAUACGUCUCCUUUCUCAUGAAUUUAGGAUAUCAGCCACCACCCCCCCCCCCAGCACCACCCAGCACCACCCCUCCUCACGCAUGUCCAGGAACGGCCACUAAAACCAUCUCUAUCCAUCCUUGUUAGAAAAAAAAUCAAGAUUUUAUAAUAAAAAGUGAAUAGAGAAUAAAAAAA